rnacentral:rRNA from 1 species
GAAUUGACGGGGGCCCGCACAAGCGGUGGAGCAUGUGGUUUAAUUCGAUGCAACGCGAAGAACCUUACCUGGUCUUGACAUCCACGGAAGUUUUCAGAGAUGAGAAUGUGCCUUCGGGAACCGUGAGACAGGUGCUGCAUGGCUGUCGUCAGCUCGUGUUGUGAAAUGUUGGGUUAAGUCCCGCAACGAGCGCAACCCUUAUCCUUUGUUGCCAGCGGUCCGGCCGGGAACUCAAAGGAGACUGCCAGUGAUAAACUGGAGGAAGGUGGGGAUGACGUCAAGUCAUCAUGGCCCUUACGACCAGGGCUACACACGUGCU